AUUGAACGCUGGCGGUAUGCUUAAGACAUGCAAGUCGUGCGGUAGAAGGCUUCGGCCUUUGAGAGCGGCGGACGGGUGAGUAACACGUGGGAAUCUGCCUAUUAGUGGGGGACAGCCCAGCGAAAGCUGGAUUAAUACCGCAUACGCCUACGGGGAAAGGCAGCAAUGCGCUAAUAGAUGAGCCCGCGUAAGAUUAGCUAGUUGGUAAGGUAAAGGCUUACCAAGGCGACGAUCUUUAGCUGGUCUGAGAGGAUGGCCAGCCACAUCGGGACUGAGACACGGCCCGGACUCCUACGGGAGGCAGCAGUCGGGAAUAUUGGACAAUGGGCGCAAGCCUGAUCCAGCAAUACCGCGUGUGUGAAGAAGGCCUGCGGGUUGUAAAGCACUUUCAGUUGGGAAGAUAAUGACGUUACCAACAGAAGAAGCACCGGCUAACUCCGUG
rnacentral:rRNA from 1 species